rnacentral:tRNA from 1 species
GCUGACAUAGCUCCAAUGGUAGAGCAGCUGCCUUGUAAGCAGCGGGUUCUGGGUUCGAGUCCCUGUGUCAGCUCCA